UCGUAACAAGGUUUCACCUAGGGAAGCCUUUGCACCCAUCUCGGGAGGCACCGCGACAUUAAACAAUGGGAUGCCGCUGCAAGUCGAAUUCAUUCGGCAACACAACUAAACUAACGGGAAUUCCAAGGUCACUUGGUAAUCCGUAACGCUGGGGAACAGCGUGCACAGGCUAGAUGGUUGUGGGUUCAGCAUCGCUGGGCUUCAGAUAUAGUCGGGCUUUGCAAGUGAUUGUAGGGAGCACCACCGUUCCGUAGGUGAACCUGCGGAAGGAUCAUUA
rnacentral:rRNA from 1 species